rnacentral:pre_miRNA from 13 species
CCAACUUUUUCUGAACUCUCUCCCUCAACUGCUAUUCUAGAGCUUGUUAAUCCUUGUCAAGUGUUUCCCUGUAGCAGUCGAGGCGAGGGGGUUUCGGAAAAUGUUG